rnacentral:rRNA from 1 species
AACGAACGCUGGCGGCAGGCUUAACACAUGCAAGUCGAACGGGAGUAUUGAAGAAGCUUGCUUUAGAGAUACUUUAGUGGCGGACGGGUGAGUAACGCGUGAGGAGCUGUCCGAUGCAGGGGGACAACAGUUGGAAACGACUGCUAAUACCCCAUAAGCCGAGAGGUAAAAGGAUUUAUCCGGCAAUGGAGGCACUCGCGUCCUAUCAGCUAGUAGGUGAGGUAACGGCGCACCUAGGCGAAGACGGGUAGCCGGCCUGAGAGGGCGAACGGCCACACUGGAACUGAGAUACGGUCCAGACUCCUACGGGAGGCAGCAGUGGGGAAUAUUGGGCAAUGGGGGGAACCCUGACCCAGCGACGCCGCGUGGGUGAAGAAAUCCUUCGGGAUGUAAAGCCCUGUUGUAUGGGAAGAGCGGAAGACGGUACCAUACGAGGAAGCCCCGGCAAACUACGUGCCAGCCGCCGCAGUAA